CACUUUUCAAAACCAUGUUGGUCUUCACCUGCUAAAAUAUACACUGUUUGGCACAGAGUGUUCAUAUCUCCUGUGCUUAUCCUGGAGCCUAUCAUGGACUAAUUGCUCAAGUAAUCAUUGAUGCAUGUGGAUGACUGAAUGAAAGACUGAAGAAACAUUUCAACAUGGCAGCAUCCUAGACUUGGAAAAGAAUGAGUAGUCCUGGAGGCUGGCCUUCUGGUGGCUAAAGUGUUUCUCCAUGUUCUACAGCCCAUGGGGUCAGGAGGGGCUUAAGGGCUGUGAAGGAAACACCUGAAAUUCCAUAAUAGCUAGUGCCUUUCAGCUGUAAAGACUGUAAUGAGGACAUCUGUAUGUCACCUGGUUGAACCACACUCAGAAAAUUCCAGGUAGAAGAAGAAAAGAAAGAAGUAAACAUAUAAUGACUUUUGGCCACUUGAAUAUGAUAAAACGUAUUUUUAUCUGUGAGGACAAGAAGCUCAGAGAAGUUAGGCAACUUGCCAAACAUUCCAUGGCUUGAAAAUUACACAGUUAGGAUAUGCACAGAGGUUUGGGAGACUCAGAAGACUAACUUGUCUUCCAGAAAGCCAAUGGCAUCAUGGGCAAGGAGAAGCUCUUCACAGGGGCUGCAGAUGACACCUUCCUUCAGCAAGAUUCAUUUCUAUUCAUUUGUUGAUACUGUCAGCCUUUCAACCACGGGAGCAUGUAUAGCCUGAGCAAUUUGCAAUUUUGUCCCAAAGUGCUGCUAACUGUGUGCUGGUGUAUUGUGCUGCCUAUGGGAAAUGGUGUUGGAUCAGCAGAAAACUGGAAAUCUUAUUUGUUUCCCUCCAGACUAAUAAUGGAAUGCUACUUGACCAACAUAAAUUAUCAAUUAUUUUGUAGAGAUUCUAAUAAGGAUAAACUAAGGAAUAAAACAAAAAGCAAUAAGAAAUCUGAACACAAGUAACAAGGCUACACUCCACCAGCCAUCUGAGUCAGAAUUUCUGUGGGUGGAAUAAAGAAUAAACCUGCUGAUGUUAAGAAAACUAAAACAAGUUCCAUACAAAUGAAAAUUUAGAAGUGUGUCCAAAAUAUGAAAAUAAUGAUGAACCGAACAAGGAAAUAUUUGGAACAUAAUUUCCCUUGACUGAGCUCUAUCAAUGUUGCUACCAACAACCAGUGAAUUCAUCAGAUAAAAUGAUAGAAGGGAAGAAAAGUGCUUCUGAGGCUCUUUUGGAAUAAGUAACAGUUUUCAGAUUCACUUUUGCAAAGAUUGCCAAUAUCAUUCGCAGACACCAACAAACCAGACUGAACAGAAAGAUCCCUGUGGUAGGAUGCCAAGCAAAUCGUUGACUUCUUCAAUCUCUAAGAGACAAUAUCUAAAUGUCAGUCUCAUGGCAUUGUAUUUUCUGCUUCACCAUAAGAUUAGCAAACACAAGACAUAAAAUUAUGUUUAUUUACUAACCAAUACAGAAUAUACUAGGCCCCUUGCCUGGAAGCCAGAUUUCACUUCUGAGAUUUUCCAAAGUCCAUUCUAGAAGAGGUGGCUGUUACUGAUACCCAGGGAAGGCAAUUCUUAAAUUGCUUACCUGGGGAUGGAACUUUCUGUGGACUUUAGGCCCUUAAGACCAAAAGCCAUGAGGCAUUUAUGAAUAGGUGAUGUAAGAAAUUUUAAUAAAAGUUGCAAUAACCCU